rnacentral:rRNA from 1 species
UACGAAGGGGGCUAGCGUUGUUCGGAAUUACUGGGCGUAAAGCGCGCGCAGGCGGUCUUCCAAGUCAGUGGUGAAAGCCCGGAGCUCAACUCCGGAACUGCCAUUGAAACUGUUGGACUUGAGUACGAGAGAGGUGAGUGGAAUUCCCAGUGUAGAGGUGAAAUUCGUAGAUAUUGGGAAGAACACCGGUGGCAAAGGCGGCUCACUGGCUCGUAACUGACGCUCAGGCGCGACAGCGUGGGGAUCAAACAGG